rnacentral:rRNA from 1 species
UACGUAGGGUGCAAGCGUUAAUCGGAAUUACUGGGCGUAAAGCGUGCGCAGGCGGUUUUGUAAGUUUGUCGUGAAAUCCCCGGGCUUAACCUGGGAAUUGCGAUGAAGACUGCAAGGCUAGAAUCUGGCAGAGGGGGGUAGAAUUCCACGUGUAGCAGUGAAAUGCGUAGAGAUGUGGAGGAACACCGAUGGCGAAGGCAGCCCCCUGGGUCAAGAUUGACGCUCAUGCACGAAAGGCGUGGGGAGCAAACAGG